rnacentral:rRNA from 1 species
UACGUAGGGUGCGAGCGUUAAUCGGAAUUACUGGGCGUAAAGCGUGCGCAGGCGGUUCGCCAAGUCAGGUGUGAAAUCCCCGGGCUUAACCUGGGAAUUGCGCUUGAAACUAGCGGGCUUGAGUGUGGCAGAGGGGGGUGGAAUUCCGCGUGUAGCAGUGAAAUGCGUAGAGAUGUGGAGGAAUACCGAUGGCGAAGGCAGCCUCCUGGGCCAACACUGACGCUCAUGCACGAAAGCGUGGGGAGCAAACAGG